CACGUAGGGUGCGAGCGUUGUCCGGAAUUAUUGGGCGUAAAGAGCUCGUAGGCGGUGUGUCGCGUCGGCCGUGAAAACCUGCAGCUUAACUGUGGGCUUGCGGUCGAUACGGGCAUCACUGGAGUUCGGCAGGGGAGACUGGAAUUCCUGGUGUAGCGGUGAAAUGCGCAGAUAUCGGGAGGAACACCGGUGGCGAAGGCGGUUCUCUGGGCCUUACCUGACGCUGAGGCACGAAAGCGUGGGGAGCAAACAGG
rnacentral:rRNA from 1 species